rnacentral:rRNA from 1 species
CCCUUAGAUGUUCUGGGCCGCACGCGCGCUACACUGAUGCAUUCAACGAGCCUAUCCUUGACCGACAGGUCCGGGUAAUCUUUGAAUCUGCAUCGUGACGGGGAUAGAUUAUUGCAAUUAUUAAUCUUCAACGAGGAAUGCCUAGUAAACGCAAGUCAUCAGCUUGCAUUGAUUACGUCCCUGCCCUUUGUACACACCGCCCGUCGCUCCUACCGAUUGAAUGAUCCGAUGAAUAUCAUGGACUGAGAGUGUUAGAGUUUUCGGACUUCUACACUUCUCGGGAAGUGAAGUGAAUCUUAUCAUUUAGAGGAAGGAGAAGUCGUAACA